AUUGAACGCUGGCGGCAGGCCUAACACAUGCAAGUCGAGCGGAUGAAGGGAGCUUGCUCCUGGAUUCAGCGGCGGACGGGUGAGUAAUGCCUAGGAAUCUGCCUGGUAGUGGGGGAUAACGUCCGGAAACGGGCGCUGAUACCGCAUACGUCCUGAGGGAGAAAGUGGGGGAUCUUCGGACCUCACGCUAUCAGAUGAGCCUAGGUCGGAUUAGCUAGUUGGUGGGGUAAAGGCCUACCAAGGCGACGAUCCGUAACUGGUCUGAGAGGAUGAGCAGUCACACUGGAACUGAGACACGGUCCAGACUCCUACGGGAGGCAGCAGUGGGGAAUAUUGGACAAUGGGCGCAAGCCUGAUCCAGCCAUGCCGCGUGUGUGAAGAAGGUCUUCGGAUUGUAAAGCACUUUAAGUUGGGAGGAAGGGAAGUAAGUUAAUACCUUGCUGUAUUGACGUUACCAACAGAAUAAGCACCGGCUAACUUCGUG
rnacentral:rRNA from 1 species